AAUUAUCGGAGUGAUUACAAAAGAAAAUGAUUAAAUAGAAUUACAAUUUAAAAUGUAUAAAAUAUUUAUAAGUUUUAAAAUACAUGUUAACUUAAGUGACAAUCCUCAAUAGAGAAACUAAAGACGGGAUAUACUUAUAGAAGAAGGCCGAGCCCACCGGCACUUAGCACCAUCCACAACAGAACAAAAUUACAACCUGAAAAACAACAAGGAAUAAAACCCUGAGUACGCAAUUACUCAGCAAGACUUACCCGACUAAAGAAAAGACUCUCAAGGGUAUGCUGGUUUGUUGGGAAUCAAGGUAAAGCUCAUCAAAUUUCAAAGACUCGUUUUUGCAGAAAAGCUUACUAGUAGUGGAUCCUUAUGCCAAACUUUUACUUCACAAAUUAAGUACUUUUCCUGAAUUUAGAUUUACCUAAUCUAGAGCAUUCACUUAUCCUACACUAAAUUCAUUUUAGCAUCUUUAGUUUCACUUGUUAUCUAUGAUGAGGGUCGAAGAUCCAGUCUUCAUAUCCGAGAAGUUCGGCGAUUCGAAUCGAUUAAUACCCAGCUGGGGAUCUCCAACCACACGACAUAUGUAGCACUUAACCCUUGCAUAUGUCAACUCGCCACCAGGUUUCUCAAGACCAGAACGGGUCCCCGCCAACCGAGAGCUCAGUACCCCACCAUCCAGCCUCUUGCCAGGUGGAUACACGAUACUCUCGCCAUCUCUCCACUCCCAUUGCGGGCCGGUCUUUCUGGUAUUGGUCCAGUCGAGGCUAAGCUUACCCAUGACGAGGCAUGUGGCCAGUUAAAGGGUCCUAGAUCAGCAGGCCAACAAUCGGAACGGUCCUUAAGCGACACAGACGGGCGACCUUUCCUGCUCAAAGUUUGGUCUCAUAUUAAGUUAUUUCUGAAAACCUGGUACCUGCCAGAGGUACCCUACUGAAAUGAUGAAGUCAUCAAGGCCUUUGAUACCUUCAUCACUCUAGCCUCUUUUCUUUAUAAAAACAUGAUUCAUAGAUCAAAACAUUUUGUUCUUAGUCUAUGAGCAUACUAAGCACAUCUAGCUUUUUAAAACAGGUAUCAAGGAUGGUAAUCAAUAUUUCAAGAAAGUUAUGCAACAAAGGUUUAAUCAUUCAACUCCUACCACCUAAUGCAUCAUAUAAGUGAUAAAAGUUUAAAAACAGUAAGGAGGUGGCAAAUGCACCGGGGCUUGCCUGAGAUAACACUAAGUUAGUGUUGUUAGAUGACAUCCGAUUAGGGAGCAUCUCUCGUCCUGGUACUUGACCAGAUCAUCCAAGCUUCAGGUUCGUUCACCAGCAUCAUUUUGGGAUCAACUCGGCUCUUGUCGUCCACAUCACGUGAUCAAUUAGCGAAUCUGAAUGAUAUGCAUAAUGCACAUGUAUGAACAUAGGAAGGAAUAAUAAGGCUAAACGAUGUCACAAGGAAGAAAAUUCAAUAUUAAAGGCAAGACCUCACCAAUAUACAUAAUCAAACAUGAGAGAAAAUCUACACAAUCAUGAUCCUCGAGUUAAUCAGACCUAAUUCAAACAUUAGGCAACGUAACUAAACACAAGCCUUAAGCUAAAGCAUAACAUCGAUAGGUUACUACUCGUAGACUUAUCAAUUUCGGAUACUUAACUUAGGUUUAUGAAUAGAAGUAUUUCAACUAGUCCUUAGAACUACCAAUCUAACCUAUUAGGCAUAACACAUCAACCAAACAAAUUAUUACACCAUUCGAUCAAGCAACUAAUCAUUAUCAAGAUCAUAGACAUUUGUAAGACUAAGCAAUAAAGGGUAACAUCACGGAUGGACGAGAGAAGUGCUAAAUUUUACUACUUGCAUUACUAUUUCAUUAUGCACAUAAAAGGCCUAAAUAGUCACUAACUCAAAUACAUUCACCAAGGCAUUUACUUCCUUCUCAAAAAUGCUAAAGUCUAAAACAAGCAUUAAGAAAGAAAAUAAACAACCAUUUGCCACUACAAGACUUCAUUAAUCAAGACAAGAACUAACCAAAUAUAGGUAUCCUCACAAAAGAAAUACAAGUAAUCAUUUCAUACUUGCUGAAUUUGGACAGCAGAACAGCAACUACUUGUUUAGUUCAUAACUCACACGAUAUUCAUCCAAAAAUGAUAAACUAUGACUUUCUGGAAAGCUUAGAAAGUCCUCUAUAACUCUUAUAUUAUCAUCACAACAUGAUCCGACAGCUUGAAAGGUCAAACAAUGCUAAACUUUAAUUCUGUCCAGAUUUGGACAGAAUUCGGCUCUUCACUUCAAAAAUCCAUAACUGGAGUUUCAGAAAUCCAAAUCAGGUGAUCCUAGACUUUUUAGAAAUCUAAUAGAAUUGUCUAUAAUUCAUUUAUAAUCAUCUCAAGGUGAUUCAAUGUGUAUCGAAGUCAGUUAAUACAAACAAACAUUGCUGUCCAGAUUUGGACAGAUUCAGACUCUAUAGUUCAAACAACUGUAACUUGGUCUCUAGACCACCAAAAAGGGUGCUCCAAAAUUUGUUGGAAAGCUUAAGCAAAGUACUACAAUUCUCCUAUAAUUACUAAGAGUUGAUUCUCAGUUUAACUUAGGCAAACAAGGUCAUUUUCGAAAUCUGUACAAAAUCUGGACAGAUUCUGAAACUGGACUUGGAAAAAUCAUAACUUCUAAACUACAAGACCUAUAGUCAUGAAAUUUUAGCACAAGCAAGAUAAAGGAGUUAUCUAUAACUUUUAUAUAUAACACUAUCACAGAAAACAUGAUUUACUUUACUAAACUAGCUGUAUAAUUAAAACUGGACAUGCAGUCCCAAACAACAAGCAUUCCAUUCAGCUCCUAUAAUUAUCAUGUGUUGUUCAAACAACAAGUGUUAACAUGUUCUUUGUAUAAGUAACUUAACCAUAAACAAAACUCUAUCCUUUAUGAUUUAUUAACACAAUCAUAUCAAUGCAUAUAUAUUCACCAAGCAUAUUUCAUACAAUAUAUCAUCACACCUAUCACUAGACAAGAGAAUCAUCGAUCAUAUCCUAAUCAAUCCACCAUACACGCUAACUAGUGAGGAUAGCCUAAGAGCUCACCAUGACUAAAGUUGACUCGAUCGGCACUAAACGACCACGACAGCCGAUUCAAUCCUUUCACCCAGCAGCUAGUAAGCGACGGACGUGCUAUGUUUCUUCUUCACCCAGAUUCCACGGAUUUCGCUCCUCAACACACAUAGGCACAUAAACACAAUCUACAUUAGCAAAUAGACGUCGAUCGAUGAAAUGACAAAGCAAGAAUGAAAUCUCACCGAGGGUCGAUGGUGUCGUGGAUGGGCUGCACAAAAUACCAAACAUCCCACGACGCUAAUAGGGUUGUCCAUGACACGGUACUCCACUUGGACAUUUUAUCAAACACCAUACGGGUGCGGAUGGUGCGGGAUAUGGUGCGGGAUUACCGGAGGAUGUCCGGCAGCGAGGGGCUGCUACAGAUAAGUGCGCAACCGUGGGAAAAACAGAGAGGCGCUGACCUGCUGCAGGAAAGGAGGCGGUCUGCAGGCACGACCAAGUUGAAACCGAGCAAAGGAUGGGCGAGCUCGGACUGACGACGAACUCCAUGACAGGGGGAUAGGAACGGCGAGAAGGGAGGGCGCUGGACAGAGGGCAGGGGCGAGCUCCAGAGAGGGGCAUCGGCCAUGGGAGGGAGCACGACGUGUGCUGCAGGAAGGGGAGAGAGCUCGGCUGGGCACCAUAGCAAGAGGAGGAUGGGGAGGGCUGGAGUGCGGACCUGGGAGGGGCGAGCACCAGGGAGCUGUGGCCGGUGGUGGAGGCUGGCGUGGGGAGGGAGGAAGAAAGCUCCCUGCUGGAGAACACACAUCGUGAGGGAGAUUUGAGAUGGGGAUAAGGGAGAGAGAGAGAGUUAGG
rnacentral:lncRNA from 1 species